GGCAAACAAACUUAGGUUAAGCCAGCAUAGAAUAAUAAUACCGAUAUGUAAUCUCCUUUCAGCCCUGUUUCAACAGUGGCAGAAAGGAACUUUUAUCAUCAAGUUAAUUCUGAAGUACCUCUCAGUGGGAUUCUAACCUCAGAAAGAGCAUACUGUGGCAAAAUCAAGAAAGUCCAGUGGCACUAAAGGUUUUGGCGGGUUGGUGCGAUGUGAAAGAGCUGUUUUUCCUGUGGACUUGCUACCAGCAGCCUCACUGGGUGUCGACUUUGAUGCAGUAAAAGAAACCAGUUCACCAUAACACCAAAACCAUCCCUAUUCCAGCCUUUUCAAUUGUUUUUAAGCAGUGGGGGUUGCAAAAGUUGAUUCACCAGUUCCACGCAAAAAAACCACUUGUUUACUCACAGACAUGACUGCACAGGUCUCGGGCACGACAUUGGUUAACAGCCAGAAGUUGACUUAACGUCAAGACAUCUGACUGUACCAGAGAAAGUGACAUUGAGCUUGUGAACGAACAUCACUGCGAGUGGUAAACCGUGUGACCAGUAGAGAACAGCGCAACUACCCAAACACCCUUCAAACAAUGACACACAAAUGGAAGAUUUUCUAAUUUUAUGAAGAAUCACAACCCAUCGAGCAAGCCGAGAACAGCAUUCGCUGGAAUUCCUUCGGCCCACAAAAUCUGAGAGAAUAAACUUUCGAUAUCACGAACGAAAUACAAACAGCGAUAGCAUAUGAGAUUUAGCGUCAAUUU